rnacentral:rRNA from 1 species
AUUGAACGCUGGCGGCAUGCCUUACACAUGCAAGUCGAACGGUAGCGGGCCUUCGGGUGCCGACGAGUGGCGAACGGGUGAGUAAUGUAUCGGAACGUACCAUUGAGUGGGGGAUAACGUAGCGAAAGCUGUGCUAAUACCGCAUACGCCCUGAGGGGGGAAAGCGGGGGAUCGAAAGACCUCGCGCGAUUAGAGCGGCCGAUGCCUGAUUAGCUUGUUGGUGGGGUAAAAGCCCACCAAGGCGACGAUCAGUAGCUGGUCUGAGAGGACGAUCAGCCACACUGGGACUGAGACACGGCCCAGACUCCUACGGGAGGCAGCAGUGGGGAAUUUUGGACAAUGGGGGCAACCCUGAUCCAGCAAUGCCGCGUGAGUGAAGAAGGCCUUCGGGUUGUAAACCUCUUUUAUCAGGGAAGAAGCGAAAGUGACGGUACCUGAAGAAAAAGCACCGGCUAACUACGUG